rnacentral:rRNA from 1 species
UACGAAGGGGGCUAGCGUUGCUCGGAAUCACUGGGCGUAAAGCGCACGUAGGCGGAUUCUUAAGUCAGGGGUGAAAUCCUGGAGCUCAACCCCAGAACUGCCUUUGAUACUGAGGGUCUUGAGUUCGGGAGAGGUGAGUGGAACUGCGAGUGUAGAGGUGAAAUGCGCAGAUAUCAGGAGGAACACCAGUGGCGAAGGCGGCUACCUGGCCCACUCUUGACGCUGAGGCGCGAAAGCUAGGGGAGCAAACGGG